CCCUUAGAAUCCACUCCGGGUCGGAGGAGCAGCUAGUCCAACUUCUUGAGUAGCUGAGAUAUUGAACAACGAACGAGCAAGCUACCUUGCCUCACCCUAAGAUGAGAGGGAAGGUCGAUUUGACUCGAAUCCUGGACCUGAUCUUUAAUCCUACACCGGUUAAUGAUGUGAUGGGAUAAGUUUUAUUUUCAUCAAUGCUGACCCAGUCGAGGCUCGUCCAUGCCCAAU
rnacentral:lncRNA from 1 species